rnacentral:rRNA from 1 species
AGCAACGCCGACGUGAGUGAAGAAGGGUUUCGGCGUCGUAAAGCUCUGUAGGUAGUGAAGAAAGAUAGAGGUAGUAACUGGCCUUUAUUUGACGGUAAUUACUUAGAAAGUCACGGCUAACUACGUGCCAGCAGCCGCGGUAAUACGUAGGUGGCAAGCGUUGUCCGGAUUUAUUGGCGUAAAGCGAGUGCAGGCGGUUCAAUAAGUCUGAUGUGAAAGCCUUCGGCUCAACCGGAGAAUUGCAUCAGAAACUGUUGAACUUGAGUGCAGAAGAGGAGAGUGGAACUCCAUGUGUAGCGGUGGAAUGCGUAGAUAUAUGGAAGAACACCAGUGGCGAAGGCGGCUCUCUGGUCUGCAACUGACGCUGAGGCUCGAAAGCAUGGGUAGCGAACAGGAUUAGAUACCCUGGUAGUCCAUGCCGUAAACGAUGAGUGCUAAGUGUUGGGAGGUUUCCGCCUCUCAGUGCUGCAGCUAACGCAUUAAGCACUCCGCCUGGGGAGUACGACCGCAAGGUUGAAACUCAAAGGAAUUGACGGGGGCCCGCACAAGCGGUGGAGCAUGUGGUUUAAUUCGAAGCAACGCGAAGAGCCUUACCAGGUCUUGACAUCCAGUGCAAACCUAAGAGAUUAGGUGUUCCCUUCGGGGACGCUGAGACAGGUGGUGCAUGG